rnacentral:lncRNA from 1 species
UAUCUUUCAUUCUACACAAUAUUGUUCUAUACACUGAAUUGACUUACUGCGGACAACUUGCCUCUUUGCUUUUAACUUUUGUUAUCGCAGUCACAAUAACAUGUUAUUUUCCAUGUUUCUUUAUUUAUCACACAUGAAGCAUAUUGUCCUUGACUCAUCGAUUUUCUUAGUAAAUAUUGCGUCCCUAUUUGUCUCUUGAGUCACCAUAAAGUUUUCCUAGGCAUCUCUUCCCAUCUUUAAUAUCCCCAUGCCUGUUCCAUUUCUUGUUCUUGAAGGUGCACAUGGACCCACAAACUUACAAUUUUCCUAGCCAUCUAGCAUGCAUUUCUCUGCCCGUCCUUAUUAUACUCGUGUAUAUUUCCUUUUGUUGAAG